rnacentral:rRNA from 1 species
CCGUGUUUAUUUUACCUUGUUGCUUCGGCGGGCCCGCCUUAACUGGCCGCCGGGGGGCUUACGCCCCCGGGCCCGCGCCCGCCGAAGACACCCUCGAACUCUGUCUGAAGAUUGUAGUCUGAGUGAAAAUAUAAAUUAUUUAAAACUUUCAACAACGGAUCUCUUGGUUCCGGCAUCGAUGAAGAACGCAGCGAAAUGCGAUACGUAAUGUGAAUUGCAAAUUCAGUGAAUCAUCGAGUCUUUGAACGCACAUUGCGCCCCCUGGUAUUCCGGGGGGCAUGCCUGUCCGAGCGUCAUUUCUGCCCUCAAGCACGGCUUGUGUGUUGGGCCCCGUCCUCCGAUCCCGGGGGACGGGCCCGAAAGGCAGCGGCGGCACCGCGUCCGGUCCUCGAGCGUAUGGGGCUUUGUCACCCGCUCUGUAGGCCCGGCCGGCGCUUGCCGAUCAACCCAAAUUUUUAUCCAGGUUGACCUCGGAUCAGGUAGGGAUACCCGCUGAACUUAAGCAUA